CCCUUUGUUUACCUUACCACUGUUGCCUCGGCGNUNGGGGGAAACCUCGUCGCCGGUGGCCUACUAUAUAAACCCUUUUUUAAACCCAGUCUUCUGAGAAUUUAUUUAAUAACUUCAAAACUUUCAACAACGGAUCUCUUGGUUCUGGCAUCGAUGAAGAACGCAGCGAAAUGCGAUACGUAAUGUGAAUUGCAGAAUUCAGUGAAUCAUCGAAUCUUUGAACGCACAUUGCGCCCUCUGGUAUUCCGGAGGGCAUGCCUGUUCGAGCGUCAUUAUCAACCAUCAAGCUCUGCUUGGCAUUGACUGUCACCCCCCAGGGGGAGCGGUCUAAACAGGUCGGCUUCGGAUGCGAACCGCGAGCGUUAGUAAUACUUCCCGCUUUGCAGGUCAAAUCUGUUAGCCUCCAAAACCCAACACCUCAAGGUUGACCUCGGAUCAGGUAGG
rnacentral:rRNA from 1 species